rnacentral:misc_RNA from 1 species
UCCCCGUUGCCGAGGCAGUCUGACUAGAUAUUACAACUAGCCACGAGGGUUGCGCUCGUUGCGGGACUUAACCCAACAUCUCACGACACGAGCUGACGACAGCCAUGCAGCACCUGUGUUACGGCUCCCUUUCGGGCACCCUCGCAUCUCUGCGAGGUUCCGUACAUGUCAAGGGUAGGUAAGGUUUUUCGCGUUGCAUCGAAUUAAUCCACAUAAUCCACCGCUUGUGCGGGUCCCCGUCAAUUCCUUUGAGUUUUAACCUUGCGGCCGUACUCCCCAGGCGGAUGACUUCACGCGUUAGCUGCGUUACUAAGGGAUUUAACUCCCCCAACAACUAGUCAUCAUCGUUUAGGGCGUGGACUAC